rnacentral:misc_RNA from 1 species
ACACCUCAACUCCUCAUGGCUUGCCCAUGAUGAGCUUGGACUUUGGGGGUUUUGCUGGCCUGCAGGUCGGCUCCUCUCAAAUGAAUCAGCUUGCCAGUGUUUGGUGGCAUCACGGGUGUGAUAACUAUCUACGCUUGUGGUUUUCCACCAGAUAACCUUCAGCGAUGGAGGUUCGCUGGGGCUCAUAAAUGUCUCUCCUCGACGAGGACAGCUCUUUGAAC